AUCAGAAAGAACCUAGUAACGCUAUUCCAGUCUAAUGCCAUCUUCAACAGAAGAGAAAUCUGCCUUGGUCUCUGCGCUAACAUCUCCAAUUUGCUUAAUAGGAGACAGAGUGUAUGGCAAACCCAUUUUCGCUGGCUCCAGAGAAAGACAGAAAAGCUGAGACACGUGACUGCAGGCAACCGGAAGCUGAAGGCCCUCAAUAGGCUGGUCAGAAAGGUGAAGAUCUCAAUUCUUGCUAGCUGCUCUCCCACACAGGAACGCAGACCUGUAGGCCCAGCUUCCGCAGAGAAGUGACGCCAAAGUGUCGCUGCUGUUUCCAGAUGUGACCAUUGGAGAAAAUGAUUCCUAAAGGCAUCAGCAGACAAUGAUAAAUGAUUCCUGACUACAUUCAUGUUUUUUUUUAAAAAACCCAGUUUUUGCCAAAUAUCUCUUUGGAUUUCAGAUGGGAAUACCAAACCUUUAUGACAUGUUGCCAUUUUGUAUGAUUCUGGCUAUGUUAAUUUUUUUUUUUUUUUACAAAAAUAUUUAUUCCUUUUGGGAGUCACAUGGACACCGGGACACGCAUGUGGUAUGGUGACCACAGAUGCAUUGCUUGCCAGCCUCCAUCUUAUACAAUGGACAUCAAGACCUUCUCAGAUGAUGUAAACGUUCAUGUACAAGAAUAUAUGUCAUAGGCACAAGAGACAGGAUCUUCUCAGGGAUCUCAGAAUCCGUCUGCGACUUCCUUCUACAAGAUUGGAACUGACCAGCAAAAUAAGCAAAUGGCUUUUUUAUUCACUGGAUUUAAUCAAGUGACCAGUGUUGUUGAUGUUAUUUAGUUUGGGUCAUGAAAUGUCUGCAGGAAAACAAUUAAGCUCCUGGAGCAACAAGGACCCCUUAAUCAAAUUUCUAUUGUGUUUUUCCUGCCAAUAAUUAAGUACGAUGUUUUAAACUGCUUUUAUGGAAGCCAUCUAUAAAUGAAGAAACACUUAUAAGAAAAGCUUUGUUAAAAGUGACGAAGCUUAUUAUUUCUGAGCCCGAAUGUGAUCGUCUUUAUCUGACCUAUUAAAGCAUGUAAUAGGGAAAAAAAUGGCCAAUAGUUCAUUAAAGACAAUGACUUCAAAUUAACGAGCUGAGCCCAAUUUACAGAGUUUACUUUACAGAGUCAGCAUAUUGUCUCCAACAAUCUGGGUCCUCAUUUUACCCACCUCGGAAGGAUGGAAGGCUGAGUCAACCCUGAGUCAGUGGGACUUGAACUGCCAAACUGCUGGCAAUCAGCAGUCAGCAGAAGUAGCCCGCAGUACUGCUCUCUAACCAGUGUGCCACCAUGCAAAAAAAAUAUAUUUACAUAUUCAUUUAAAAAAAAAACCAGAGCCCAAUCAUAUGUGGUUUUAUGUAUUACAUAAAGAGACAUCAAAUAAUUACAAAAAGGAAACACAAUGUCUGAGUCAAUUUAUCAAUGUAACAGACAAGAUGGAACGCAAUGGAGAUGCACAAUAAUGUGGUGUAAAGUGGAUUAUAGCAAUAUUUCUUUUGCUUAUCUCAUAACUGUGAAUCAUUUGGUUUAUUAUCCCUUAUUUUCUUCCCCCCAUGCUAUUUCUUUCACUUAUGACUGUAUGACUAUAACUUGUUGCUGGCAAUCCUUAUGAUUUAUAUUGAUAUAUUGAUCAUCAAUUGUGUUGUAAAUGUUGUACCUUGAUGAAGGUAUCUUUUCUUUUAUGUACACUGAGAGCAUAUGCACCAAGACAAAUUCCUUGUGUGUCCAAUCACACUUGGCCAAUAAAAAAAAAUAAAAAAAUUCUAUUCUAUACAUAUUAUCCCCACAAAUUGUAACAGUGCGAUGGUUAUUUAGAUAUAAUUCCUUAUUAUUUCUACUUACCCCUUCUAUUCCCUACAGCUGUCAUGAAAGCAUCAUCUGGUCGAUAAGAGAAUUCUUCUAGGAAGCUCAUCAUUCCUUCUUUCACAGUUUUGAAUCCAGAUAGCACUACUAUAAGCCAUCAACUCCUGAACUGUCCAAGUGAUUGUUAUGUUGACGGGACAGUCUAGAGACUUUGUUGUGCCUUAAUCUAGCAUUCUUCAUCAGACGGGUUGCGACCUGAAUUAAGAUUGGCCACAAGGACAAAACAAUC